rnacentral:misc_RNA from 1 species
AAGUCGUAACAAGGUUUCCGUAGGUGAACCUGCGGAAGGAUCAUUAUUGAAAUAAAAAUUGGUGUCGAGUUGCUGCUGGCUUUUCGGAGUAUGUGCACACUCAUACCAUUUUUAUACAACCACCUGUGCACUUUUGUAGAUGUCUUUUAAUACUUGAGGAUCUUACUAGCUUGUUCUAGUGUUUCUCGUAUUAAAGGCUCUAUGUUUUUAUACACCCCAUGAAUAGUCCCAGAAUGAAUACUAUUUAGGCCUUUGUGCCUUUAAAAAUUAAAAUAACUUUCAACAACGGAUCUCUUGGCUCUC